GAUGAACGCUGGCGGCGUGCCUAAUACAUGCAAGUAGAACGCUGAAGGAAGGAGCUUGCUCUUUCCGGAUGAGUUGCGAACGGGUGAGUAACGCGUAGGUAACCUGCCUGGUAGCGGGGGAUAACUAUUGGAAACGAUAGCUAAUACCGCAUAACAGUAGAUGUUGCAUGAUAUCUACUUAAAAGGUGCAAUUGCACCACUACCAGAUGGACCUGCGUUGUAUUAGCUAGUUGGUGAGGUAACGGCUCACCAAGGCGACGAUACAUAGCCGACCUGAGAGGGUGAACGGCCACACUGGGACUGAGACACGGCCCAGACUCCUACGGGAGGCAGCAGUAGGGAAUCUUCGGCAAUGGACGGAAGUCUGACCGAGCAACGCCGCGUGAGUGAAGAAGGUUUUCGGAUCGUAAAGCUCUGUUGUAAGAGAAGAACGAGUGUGAGAGUGGAAAGUUCACACUGUGACGGUAUCUUACCAGAAAGGGACGGCUAACUACGUG
rnacentral:rRNA from 1 species